AUGAACGCUGGCGGCGUGCCUAAUACAUGCAAGUCGAGCGAACAGACGAGGGGCUUGCUCCUCUGACGUUAGCGGCGGACGGGUGAGUAACACGUGGAUAACCUACCUAUAAGACUGGGAUAACUUCGGGAAACCGGAGCUAAUACCGGAUAAUAUAUUGAACCGCAUGGUUCAAUAGUGAAAGACGGUUUUGCUGUCACUUAUAGAUGGAUCCGCGCCGCAUUAGCUAGUUGGUAAGGUAACGGCUUACCAAGGCAACGAUGCGUAGCCGACCUGAGAGGGUGAUCAGCCACACUGGAACUGAGACACGGUCCAGACUCCUACGGGAGGCAGCAGUAGGGAAUCUUCCGCAAUGGGCGAAAGCUUGACGGAGCAACGCCGCGUGAGUGAUGAAGGUCUUCGGAUCGUAAAACUCUGUUAUUAGGGAAGAACAAAUGUGUAAGUAACUAUGCACGUCUUGACGGUACCUAAUCAGAAAGCCACGGCUAACUACGUG
rnacentral:rRNA from 1 species